rnacentral:misc_RNA from 1 species
GGGGAUGCCGCUGACCGAGC